UGGACUACUCGGACUCUAUCCUGUGAACUAAGCUGAUAAAUCUCUAUACAAAUAUAUUCAUUCUACUGGUUCUCCUUCUUUGGAGAACCCUGACUAAUACAGGCAUGGAGCCAUUGAAAGGCUGCUCAGGGUGGACCAUUAUAUGCUGCUUCAAGACUUGGUGGACCUGCCCCUUCAGCAACUUUUCUUGAUUACCUGACAACCUUGCCAGAGCAUGAAGUCCUGUUUCCCAGCAAGCAGCAACAAAUCCCUAAUGUCAUCUUAUUCUACAGUGCCCGUGGUUAGCACCUUUGACUCCCUAUCGCUUGGUGCAUGUGACUGCAGCAGCAUGCUUUUCCAAUGUCUUCCGUAAGUGUCAGCCAUCUCCUCUCUUACCAGAUGCAGCCUUCUUCAUUCUAUCCUGGACCUUCAUUUUGGGUAGGGCUUUCCAGCUUCUUCUCUGAUCUCACCUUGCCUAAACUAUCCUGCCCUUUGCAUUGCAAGUCUAACAUACAACUGUGAUGAUUGCUCAUCUCCAAGAGAUAAUGAGGGCGUCUCCGACAAGGGAGGCCACUGGAGAAAGGAAUUGUGGGACGUUUUCCUCCCUCGAGCAGGUUGGAUACACUGUCUUAUGAGAAAGGGAGGCAGUUCUGUGCCUUCACAUUCUGGGACUGUGAUAUUCACAGGCCUCCUCACAGGGAUUCGACCUUGACACUACAGGCUUGCCUGCCUUCAUUAUUACCCCUGGCUGACUUUGUGCUUCAAAUGCCUUAUGGAGGCUGGUUGCAAUUUAGCAUCUGAUGCUGGCCCAACAAGGAGAUGGAAACCAUGUGGUCAGACCCAGUGAGAUGCAGGACACCAUACAGCUGAGAUGACCUGUAGGAAUGCAAUGCUGAAAGGAGCAAAUACUAGUCAGAUUCAGCAUUUCCAGGAGCUUGUGAUCCCAGACAUCCACAGAAUGAGGGAAGAAUGCAAUGAAUGACGAGAGAAACGCAGACAUCACAAGUCUCAGAAAGGUGGCUGAACACCUGACCAGAGGGUAGGACUGAGCUCUGGAAUCACUGACUGCCUCUUUCAGCACCCUGUUCUCCCCAUGUAAACGGAUGGCUGGAAAUGUGAUGGAAGGCAUAUGUCUGGGCUAUCCAUCUGGUGUCUCCUCAGACUCUCAGCACUCCGCAUAAAGCACAACUUCAAUUCCUGUCUCUUCCAUUGGCCUUUGAGAUGUUGCCCACUAGAACUAGAUGAGAAGAGCCUACCUCUGAAGAAAUCGCACACAAUGUAUGUGUGACAUAGAGAAAUGAAGCUGGACCUGAGAUGGAGGCUUCCUCUUUCCUGACUAGCUUUCGCAGUUCCAGAAGGUGCUAUCCAGGAGAAAAAUGCAUGAAGGACUCACUCAUCUGUUCAUCCUAGAAUCGACAAGAUCACCCUGCUAGGCGAGAUGUACCCACUUUUCCAAUAGCACUCAGAUUGGCUUUGAUACACAAUCCACCAUAGGGAUUCCAAGCCUACUGUUGUAAACCUGGCCAAAGCUCUUCAACAGGGAAGGACCGAGGCCUAUCAAGUAACUAAAUACUGUUGUUCAGUGAGCAGUGAUGAAUGCAGAAAUUCAUGACUAUAGAAGAUGCUGAGAAUAUGUGAUGGAUGACUACUCAGCCCUAAACAAGACAUUUACACUAUCAUCUAAGGCUCGGGGAACAUUGCAGAAAUGGACAGAAAGAAUGCAAGAGUCAAAAGAUAGGGAAGAAAGCUGAGAAAAAGUCAUCUUUGAGGGCAAGAAACAGCUAUUGCAGUCUUCAAGUCCUGGCAGUUGCAGAUGCCUGCACUGGAUCUGCAUAGGAAUGGGCCCAAGGACAGUUGGGCAUGGAUGGAGGCAGGGCUCAGCCACAUCUGCUCCUCACUGCUGAACUGUUUGUGACUGAUAGAUCCAGUAGCUUUUCAACUGUUACUUAUCACCUGUCACUUCAUUGCCUGGGCCUGAAUUUUAUACUUCCCUAUCAAUUCUUAAAUGUAAUGUUCAUUUAAUGGUUUAUGAAUAUUUUCUUUCAUCUUGAAUAAAUAAAUUCAGGUGGUUAU